rnacentral:rRNA from 1 species
UAAUACAGAGGGUGCAAGCGUUAAUCGGAAUUACUGGGCGUAAAGCGUGCGUAGGUGGGCUGAUGUGUUGGCUGUGAAAUCCCCGAGCUUAACUUGGGAAAGCCAGCCAAAACUGUCAGUCUAGAGUAUAGUAGAGGAAAGUGGAAUUUCCGGUGUAGCGGUGAAAUGCGUAGAUAUCGGAAGGAACAUCAGUGGCGAAGGCGACUUUCUGGACUAAUACUGACACUGAGGCACGAAAGCGUGGGGAGCAAACAGGAUUAGAUACCCUGGUAGUCCACGCCGUAAACGAUGAGAACUAGCUGUUGGGAGCAGAUACUGUUUCUAGUGGCGCAGCUAACGCGAUAAGUUCUCCGCCUGGGGAGUACGGCCGCAAGGUUA